UCUUUCUCUUUCCUUCUUAUUUCUUCUUCUUCUAUGUUCUUCAUCUUCUCUUCUAUGUUUAAGCCGACCUCAGAGAUUUGAGUGUUUAUUUGUACGAGGAUCCUUGUAGAUCUUGUUAUCCUUAUCGGUUGAAGACGAAGGUGAUGGUGCUGAAGUUGUUUAGUCACAGGAAGAAGCAAAAAAAGGGUAAGCUAUUUAGGGUUUCUGCUUUGAUUGAAUUUCUUUAUGAAAUUAAGUUUGUUUGGUGUUGUGUUUCAUGGGUUUGCUGUUAAUUGGAGUAGGAAGAGUUGCAUAAGGUUUAAUUUUGGUUUCUUUAGGAAAUUAAGAUUAGGGUUCACGAGUUUGAAUUAUUGAUGAAGAAGGUGGGUUUAACAGUGAUGAAUCGAAGAAGAACUGAUGUUGUUUCAAGCUUGUGUUUGUGCUUGAAAUUGGGUUUUGAUUCAGGGCUUCGUAAAGAGUAAAUAAGAAUUUAUGGAUUUGAAGAGGGUUUAAUAUUGGGGGUUUUCCCUGGUUCGGAAUCUACUAUGAAUUGGGUUGACAUAGGAGAAGAUUCAGUGAAGAAUUGGCGUUGUUGGAAUUGGAGUUAUCAUGGUUUGGUCUUUGGUGAUAGGAUUGUUAGUGUUAAAUAGUGGAUGUUACAGGGAAUUAUUGGUUGGUAUUGGGAGGAAGAUUGAAUCGGUGUAUUUGAACGAUUAUGUAUGUGUGUUAGUUUGGAGAUACCAUGUCUUAAUAAUGGAGCUAAUUAUGAAUUGCCUGAGUUGGUAAUGAUGUUGCUGAUGAAGCUCAAGUGACAGGUGAAGUUGAGUUAGUGGAUUUGAUUUAUGAGAUUGCUGACUUGAGGAGUUUGGUAAUGAAACUGAGACUUUGGUGGUAGUGAUAUUGAAUUAGUAUGUGUUGGGCUGGUGCAAGUAUAAUCUGGAGAUGAAGUCAGUUAAUGAAGAUAAAGAUGAUGUUGAAGAUACUUUGAGGAUGUGUUUGUUCAGUUGAGCCUAACUGAGAUGUUGAUGGUUGGUAACUGUAGUUUUAAAUUGAUUUAUAGGGUAUGAAGAUGAAUUAGAUACUAGAGUUGUAAAUGGUGCUUUGCAGCGGCAGUAGAGGUGGAGAUGAGUUUGGAACUGGAGUUGUUGAAGUUGCAAGAAACGUAUUGAUGACGUUGUUAUGAAGAUAAAAGGUAUGGCUGGAUAUUGAGUUGGUAACACAAGUGAAGCUGUUGAUGCUGAACUGGUGAGAUCAAUGAGGAGCCGAGAGUGAGGUGUUGUGAACUGAGUUAAUGAUGGAAUGUGGUAGCUGCAAAUGAAGUUGUAAGUUAUAAUGAAGGUGUUGGCUCGGGCAGCUAGUUUGGUUGGUUUUAAAGAGAUAUAGAAAUCUCAGUUUAGGAAGUCGAUUGUGUAUAUGAUUGUUUUGUUUGGAAUGAAACUUAUGAAAAGGCCGGAAGAGUAUGUGGAUGAGCUUUAAAUGAUGGGAUUGAUGAUAUGAAGAUUGUUUGGUGUCAGAAUUGCAGUUAGAACAAAUUGUACGAUUGAAAAUGUAUUAGAUUUCUGUUGUGUUUAAAUUAUAAAGUUUUGUUAGAAUGAAUAGAUUGAAUUUGAGCUAGGAUUAGAGUCUCAGCUGUAUGUGAACCUUAAGCAUGUAUGACUGAACUUAUUCAGUCUGUUUUAGUUAUGUAUAGCUGACUCAGUGUCUGACUGAGUUAGAUCGUUGACUGAGUUAACCCUUGAGUUGACCUGACCUUGACUAGAUUCUGACCUAGACUUAGAUGUUGACUGUUAGGUUGACCGUGGACUGUCAGUUUGACCGUUAGUGACUGUUAGUUGACUAGGAUGACUCUAUUUUCCUAAAUUGAUAUCUUGGACCCCUUACGGUCAGAAUUAGCCUUUGGAUUCUUCUACAAAGUUGUAGACAUUCUUGAGACUUAGAUAAUGGACUAUCGAACCAACCUAAUUGGAUUAGUAAACUCUUAAUUAUGUUAAAGGUAGAGAAUGAGAUACCAUAAUGGGCUUAGAACCAUUAGAUGGUUCACUAAACUUAUAACUAGAGCAUUGUUUGAGAUUAUGUUAUGAGCCUUGUAUGAGCCUUUUGGCUAAACCCUUAGAGUGAUUGUAUGAUUAACAAUUAAUCUAUAUUAACAACGAUCUAUUCAAGAAUGAACCAGUGGAUCGUGCAUCUCGAGGUAGGCGAGGCUUGUCACCAAAAGAGUUUCAGAGACAGAUCAAGAUGUGCAUGUGACAAUGAAAGCUUCGAAGAAUUAGUUACAUUAAUUAGUUAGCUUCCGCUAUGUUAUUAUGUAUUUGUAUUCUAUUUGUAAAUCAACUCAUUAUUGAAUAUGUAUCAUUUGAGAGAAGUUCUUGUUUAUAUGUUUUCUAAGCGGGGUAAGUUUUUGGGUUAAGUUUUGUAGCAGAUAUAUUAAUUGAAUGUUUAAGUAUAUGAUUUAGAA